UUUAAUCUCGAUAAAACUACACGU
rnacentral:snRNA from 1 species